rnacentral:rRNA from 1 species
AACGAACGCUGGCGGCGUGGAUAAGACAUGCAAGUCGAACGAGAACUUUCGUUGUAGCAAUACAGUGAAAGUUCUAGUGGCGAACGGGUGCGUAACACGUGGGCAAUCCGCCUUAAAGUGGGGGAUAGCUCGGCGAAAGCCGGAUUAAUACCGCAUGUGAUUACCGGAGACAUUUUCGGAACAUCAAAGUCGGGGGAACCUGACGCUUUUUGAGGAGCCCGCGGCCUAUCAGCUUGUUGGGGAGGUAACGGCUCACCAAGGCGUUGACGGGUAGCUGGUCUGAGAGGACGACCAGUCACACUGGAACUGAGACACGGUCCAGACACCUACGGGUGGCAGCAGUCGAGAAUUUUUCUCAAUGGGGGAAACCCUGAAGGAGCGACGCCGCGUGGAGGAUGAAGGUCUUCGGGUUGUAAACUCCUGUCAUUUGGGAACAAUGCUUACGUAUUAACUGUACGUGAGUUGAUAGUACCAGAAGAGGAAGAGACGGCUAACUCUGUGCCAGCCGCCGCGGUAAAAC